UACGUAGGGGGCAAGCGCUGUCCGGAUUUAUUGGGCGUAAAGCGCGUGUAGGCGGCUUGGUAAGUCUGCUCUGAAAGCCCGGGGCUCAACCCCGGGAGGCGGGUGGAUACUGUCAAGCUCGAGUCCGGAGGAGGAGUGUGGAAUUCCUGGUGUAGCGGUGAAAUGCGCAGAUAUCAGGAGGAACACCGGUGGCGAAGGCGGGUCUCUGGGCAGUAACUGACGCUGAGGAGCGAAAGCGUGGGGAGCGAACAGG
rnacentral:rRNA from 1 species